AGUUGAGACUCGUAGCAGAUAGCUCAGUAACACGUGGCCAAACUACCCUAUGGAUCCGAAUAACCUCGGGAAACUGAGGCUAAUUCGGAAUACGAUUCAUCACCUGGAGUGGUGUGAAUCCGAAACGCUCCGGCGCCAUAGGAUGUGGCUGCGGCCGAUUAGGUAGACGGUGGGGUAACGGCCCACCGUGCCCAUAAUCGGUACGGGUUGUGAGAGCAAGAGCCCGGAGACGGUAUCUGAGACAAGAUACCGGGCCCUACGGGGCGCAGCAGGCGCGAAACCUUUACACUGCACGCGAGUGCGAUAGGGGGACUCCAAGUGCGAGGGCAUAUAGUCCUCGCUUUUUGCGACCGUAAGGAGGUCGCGGAAUAAGUGCUGGGCAAGACCGGUGCCAGCCGCCGCGGUAAUACCGGCAGCACGAGUGAUGACCGCUAUUAUUGGGCCUAAAGCGUCCGUAGCUGGCCGUGCAAGUCCAUCGGGAAAUCCGCGCGCUUAACGCGCGGGCGUCCGGUGGAAACUGCACGGCUUGGGACCGGAAGACCAGAGGGGUACGUCCGGGGUAGGAGUGAAAUCCCGUAAUCCUGGACGGACCACCGGUGGCGAAAGCGCCUCUGGAAGACGGAUCCGACGGUGAGGGA
rnacentral:rRNA from 1 species